GGCAGGGGUGAGGUAAACCUCCUUGCGGAUGAUGGUGUCGUUUUUGUAGUUGGAGUUGUUGGCGUAUCGGAGCUUGCCAUCUGGCCUGAACUCGAACUCCAAGAACUCGUGACCGAACUUCCCUUUGUGUCCCACGUAAUAUCGAAGGUAGAACUCUCCGUUCUCCUCUUCGCUCGUCAUUUCUCUGCUUUUCUCUUCUCUUUUGGGUUUCGCUUUCUCUCUGCACAACGACGCAGAGAAAAAGAAAGCCAAAGAAGCAGUGGUAAUUUGGUAAAUAUGCGUUGAGGUGUGUAAAUCCCUAAAUGGGCUGAAAGCCCAAUAUCCAUCUGAACCAAGGAUGCCAACAAUAAUUAUCAAGCCCAAUUAAUAAAAAAUGAAACAGCCCAUAGGAAUUAAGUAAAUAUCAUUUUUGAUCCGCCAGAUUCAUCACUAUUUUUUUAAAGGACAAAGCAUUCCCUAUUCCCUGGUUACUUAACAUAUUUUCCUUCAACUCAAACAUGAGAUCAUAUGAUCUUCUCUCUGCAUCAUAUGUCAAAAACUAAUGCUUAUUAUUCCAUGCAUAAUGAAUAUCUUAAUUUCACAAGAAAUAUGAAAGGAAUUUUCUACUAGCUGUCAAGCAUUCUCUUCAUCUAGUUGAUUGAGUUGAAUAAAUGUAUAUAUUUCAAGGUAAGAAAUUCACAAUAUUGAAACAUAUAGUAAAAUGUCAAUGAAGAAGGUGCACAACAGAGAACAUGGAAGAGAAGUACUGGAUAGGAAAUCAGCUGUUAACUAAUUCUGUUAAAAAUUGUAAUGACACGAACAGAAUGAGAGGAGAGGAAAAUAGGAGAUUGGCCAAAGCUUGGAGACGGAUUUCAAAGUCAGAAAGGAAGUUAGGUCAUGAAAGAAGGCAAAACUCUCAAAAGUUCCUUUAAUAUGACUCUGAGUUAAACAUGUAUAAAAGAAAGAAACAUGAAAGUAAAAUCAAUGAGAAUAAAGUGGACAGGAAUGAAGUUGUGAAGAGUUUGGACGGUGCUAUAUAGACUACUGCAACUUUUUUUGGCAUCAUAAAGACACAAGAUGAGUUGUUUGCCAAAGAGUUGCCCAAAAAUAUCUAAUUGGGCAUUAAGGAUUAUUGUUUUUUAGAAGAGAGAACACAAAAAGGAGCUAAGACAAGAAGGUGCUUAUAGAGUUAAAAUCUUUUCUUCAGUGAUAGUAACAGCAAAAAAACUGGAAAUCAAGUCAGAUCAUCUAGCACAGGAGCGAUAUAAAAUUGAUAUAAUGAUCAUAUGAUAUGCUUUUAGUUCAUCUACUUCCAGAUAUAGCAUUUGACCAAAGCAAAAAGCAUACGAAACACCAUUUAAGCGGUGAUGAAAGUUAGUUAGAAAAUUUCUACCAGAAGCAUCUCCAUAGAGAAGUUGGUGUGUGUGUGUGUGUGUGUGUGUAUAAGUGAAUAUAGUAAGAAUGAAAUAGAAUAAAUGUUCACUUUUUCCAGGAGGAGAAAACAAAAACAAAGUUUUGCACUUUACUAUAUACAAACAACUGGUGCAAGGAUUAUUUCUCAGUAUAAAUAUUUGCAGCAACCAAAGGUGAAAAAAGGGGACAUAUGCACCAUACAAAAUUACCUAGACAGGAUCUGACAAAAUAAAUCCAUCAAAAGCAACUAUCAAUCAGCUUACCUGAACAAGGUAGUAAAAGAUGCGAAGACCUUCUGGAUCUGCACUACUCUGAACAUCCACCAGAGACCCAAUCUUGGAGGUUGUGAAGGAGAUGUGCUCGUUUCCCAUCACAAUCUCAAGCUCCUGCCUGCCAACACGGUCAGGUUCCGGCCAGUUGUUAUCAUCUUCCUUCAUGAUCUGAACAAGACCAACUCAUCAGAAAGCAGAACAAAGCAAAAACAAAAACCCUCAAAAGACUUUUGAGAAGGAAUGGGUUAAAAUACUCAAAAUAGGCAUCGCUCAAGUGACGGGUUAUGAACUAACAAGGCACCACAGAAUCAAAUUAGAAAAUCUACAUGAUAGUUAUUGCAGCAUAGUGUGUCAUGGCUAUGUUUCCAUUGUUAUCCAAGCACAGCUUGGUUCAAAAUGAAAUAAGAGGAGUUUAGCAGUCUGUUAGAUGUAUGCAUCUAGAGGAAGAACAUGCAAAAAAUAAUAAUGCCCAAACAUCUUUACUUGAGAGACAAUCCUUUUCCUAACCUAUGGCACAAUCUUAAACUAUUACAUAAAAUCAUGAAUAGUAAAAGAAGCUUGCAAGUUUUCAUAAAGAUGAACGGUUUAUGGGUGUAAACUUGUAGUGAGAACAUAUUCUGGGUGCUGCUGCUCCACGUGAUGCAAUCUUCUUAUAAGUACCAUAUCAGGACUGUUCAAAAGGUUUCUGGUGCCGGCAAUUCGGCAAAAAUAACACUAUAUUCUAUCAUAAGAUCAACAAAACGGCAAACACUACAAAUAUACAGCAAUUUCUUAAUUCAGCUCAUCAUUAUCAACAUGCUUAAACGAAUUGUACCAUAGAUGUCGAACACAAGAAGAUUCCAAUUUAAAUGGUACACAGCACAACAUCUUUGCUUAAGAUUCAAGGGCAGAUGAAGAAACUAAACAUUGUCGGUUCAUUGUCACCGAUGCCAUACAGUUGAAAAGAAUGAGAGCAUUACGAGAACAAGUUAACCCAUUAUGACAACUAACACAGAAGAUAACAAGUGCAAGCAUAAAAAAGAACAAAUAAAAAAAACACAAUCUCUUUCCGGAUCAAAAGGAGAAUUUGAAACUUGAAAGUAACAAACUCAUUACAAAACAAGUGGCACCUCACCAAUCACAAUCCAAACGAGCUAGACACGAAUUUUGCACAAAAUGAACAAUCUUAUCAGCAUUCCUUUAUUGGACAAGUUCAUCUCUUCCCAUGCCAAAAAACCACAUAUAUUACAGGUUUUCUACGGUAAGCCUAAUUUAUCCCCAUCAUUUUCUGAAUGGUAAUAGAAAUUGUUUUUUUCAGGACCUAAGAAACUAUGCUCUCCCAUGUUUUUUAAUUAUUAACAAUAUUAGAGAUUUACUGAAAAACAAAAAAGCACAGUAAGUAAACCCCCAAAUUCUACUAAAAUCCACGGAUUUAAACUUCGAUUGCGCUGCGCAAAACAGCAGCAACCGAUGCAGUGGGCACCGCAACAGAAAUCGAUCUAAAACCUGACUCUAAGAAUCUAAACCCUCAGAAAUUCAAAUUCUGACAAUAGCCUCUCUCAAUUUUUUUUACUAUUCUAAAUAAUUUUUUGGUUGUACUUCGCAAAUCUGAGGCGGCAAUACCGAAAUGCGCUUCUCACUCAAACAAAACAAAUAAAUAAAUAAAUUGAAGAUUAUAACCCUAAAAGUUAAAGAAAAGGAAGAAAAGAGCGUGUGAGUUAGUGUCGUUUACCUCGCUGUCGGAGAUGAUACGACGGCACUCGCGGAGAACGGCAGGGGUGAGGUAAACCUCCUUGCGGAUGAUGGUGUCGUUUUUGUAGUUGGAGUUGUUGGCGUAUCGGAGCUUGCCAUCUGGCCUGAACUCGAACUCCAAGAACUCGUGACCGAACUUCCCUUUGUGUCCCACGUAAUAUCGAAGGUAGAACUCUCCGUUCUCCUCUUCGCUCGUCAUUUCUCUGCUUUUCUCUUCUCUUUUGGGUUUCGCUUUCUCUCUGCACAACGACGCAGAGAAAAAGAAA
rnacentral:lncRNA from 1 species